GUAGGCGCGGGGACGGGCGGGCCGCCGGGGGAAGCCAGAGCCGGGCCGCCGGGGAGCUCCUGCGCCGGGCACAGGCGCCCCUGUCAUCUCGCCGGGAGGCAGGAGUUUCUGGUACAAAAGGAGGCGCCGGGACGGGCGGGCCGCCGGGGAAGCCAGAGCCGAGCCGCCGGGGAACUCCUGCGCCGGGCACAGGCGCCCCUGUCAUCUCGCGGCGAGGGACCUUGUACGGAUCUAUCACAGGCCAGAUCAGGAACGGGGUUGGGGCAGCAGUAUCUUGCAGGUUGCAAAAUAUAAGUCGUCAGUAUGCAGAACUGCAGCAAGCUCAAUAAGCUGCCAAUAAUUGUUGAAGAGGACGAAUCAGACAGGGGCGACGGGUAUAACAGUCCACCAUGAACUUCUGCAGGAAUUUCAUUGGCGACCAAGCGAUUCAUAAUAUUCACCUGGAGGACGACAGUUCUCUGGCGCCAUAUUACCUUCACGACAUAUUACAUCUCAAGGGGAACAAUACAAGGAGGCCACAUCAGUUCAUCGAGUCUAUCGACGAAUGAUAAAGGAUACAGUUUCAAGCGAAUAUGAGGGUGUAACAAACUGAUGUAUCUUGGGGGCAUUUUUUGCCUGAGACUGUUUCUGUUGGAGCAAAGUGUUUGUACCAUAAUGAUCUAGAUUAUCUAUGUGGACCUAUAUAUUAUUGUCAGCACAACAUGGAAUGAAUUUGAAUGUCAAGUACAAACCACGGUAUUCGGGCA